rnacentral:rRNA from 1 species
GACGGGGGAUGCAAGCGUUCUCCGGAAUCACUGGGCGUAAAGCGUCUGUAGGUGGUUAUGCAAGUCACUGGUGCAAAACUCUGGCUCAACCGGAGGAAAGCCAGUGAAACUGCAUGACUAGAGUGUGGGAGAGGUAGAAGGAAUUCCCUGAGUAGCGGUGAAAUGCGUAGAUACAGGGAAGAACACCGGAGGUGAAAGCGUUCUACGGGAACACAACUGACACUGAGACCCGAAAGCUAGGGGAGCGAAUGGG